UGGGGAAUAUUGGGCAAUGCCCGCAAGGGUGACCCAGCAACGCCGCGUGGAGGAUGAAUGUCGUAAGAUUGUAAACUCCUGUUAGAGGGGAAGAAUAGUACCGGUUGGACCGGUAUAUGACUGUACCCUCAGAGAAAGCCCCGGCUAACUACGUGCCAGCAGCCGCGGUAAUACGUAGGGGGCAAGCGUUGUCCGGAUUUACUGGGUGUAAAGGGCGCGCAGGCGGGAUAAAAAGUCAGUGGUGAAAUCCUACAGCUUAACUGUAGAACUGCCUUUGAUACUUUUAUUCUUGAGUUCGGGAGAGAGAGACGGAAUUCCAGGUGUAGUGGUGAAAUACGUAGAUAUCUGGAAGAACACCCGUUGCGAAGGCGGUCUCUUGGUCCGACACUGACGCUGAGGCGCGAAAGCGUGGGGAGCAAACA
rnacentral:rRNA from 1 species